AUUCUACUCCCUCCAUUGCACAAUACUACAUGCCUUCUAUUUGUCAAAAUAUAUAUGUAUCUAGACAUGUCUUAGUAUAUAGGUACAUCCAUUUUUGGACAAAUGGAAGUCAAGUAUUUUGGAACGGAGGGAGUACACA
rfam:Triticum aestivum genome assembly, contig: Triticum_aestivum_CS42_TGACv1_scaffold_557513_7AL